rnacentral:lncRNA from 1 species
CCUGAGGCUCCUUCCUGCACAUGUUCAAGGGCUGCAUUUCAGUUCUGGACAACGUUGGGCCAGUGGCUGGGCCACCACCGGCCAGUGCUCGCCACCAUGUGAGGAGCACACAGGAGGAAGGCUCAGGAAAAGUGUGCCCCUGCCUGCCUACCUGAGACGCCUUCUUCAGCGACAUAACAAUUCAUACCUGGUGUUUGUGUGUGCCAUUCUGUUACAGUAGGAAGCUGAG